rnacentral:rRNA from 1 species
CCUUCGGGUUGUAAAGCUCUGUCACCUGGGACGAAAACACUGACGGUUAAUAGCCGUCGGAAUUGACGGUACCAGGGGAGGAAGCACCGGCUAACUUCGUGC